rnacentral:misc_RNA from 1 species
GAUGAAGAACGUAGCGAAAUGCGAUAAGUAAUGUGAAUUGCAGAAUUCAGUGAAUCAUCGAAUCUUUGAACGCACCUUGCGCUCUUUGGUAUUCCGAAGAGCAUGCCUGUUUGAGUGUCAUGAAAAUAUCAACCUUGACUUGGGUUUUGUGCUCUAGUCUCGGCUUGGAAUUGGGUGCUUGCCGCUUUUACGAGCGACUCACCUUAAAUGUAUUAGCUGGAUCUGUCUUUGAGACUUGGUUUGACUUGGCGUAAUAAGUAUUUCGCUAAGGACAUUCUUCGGAGUGGCCUCGUUUCUAGGACGCUUGUCCGCUUUCCAAUACAAGUUCCACCUCGUGGACAUGACUUUUUAUUAUCUGGCCUCAAAUCAGGUAGGACUACCCGCUGAACUUAAGCAUAUCAAUAAGCGGAGGA